GACCAAAAUAAUCGUUGCAAAAAAUCAAGGAUGGCACAGCAGGUGCAUGAGCCCGUGUCUGGAGAAAGGUUAUGAAGGUGAAUGCUGGUUACAUGGGAGGGUGACUUGGAGCCCUCUAGUUUCCUUCUUGUGCCAGCUGGGUUCCUGUUUCAAGGCCAGGCUUCUCUAACUUGUCUUCCUGGGAAAUGUAGCUUUUCCAAGAAUUUGGUAGUGCACACCAGGAAAAACUAGGUAUCAGAACAGAUUUUUUUUUAAAUAGUGGAAACACCCUCACUCCCACACUUUGGACAGUUAGGGUUGGAUAUUUAAUUUCAUAGUUACUCUUUUUUUCCACAGAAGAAAGGCCAGCCUGACCCAAGUUGCCUAUUUUUAAUGUGUUACUGCAUCUUAUUUUCUCUUCAAAGUGAAAAAGGCCAGAAACUAGCAGAUAGAAAUGGAACCCGUUGACUUAGUUCCCUUAUAAGAAGUUCUUGCAAACACCUCUGUGACGUUUUCAUUCAAGUGGAUAUGUUGGACAAAUAGGAAACAGUUUUAGUUUACGCGAACAGUAUGAGACUUCCAGGUGGUGGACGCCAUUUUUUUAGAAGUGUUGAUGAUGUAUUUGAUAACAUUAUAAAAGUAUGUGUCUCCCGUGAAAGAACAUUGAGCUAUUUCCCUGGAAUGGAUGGGGAAGAAAUGAGCAAAGGAGUGCUGUUCUGUAUGGGUGUCUAUACCCUUAUUCCAAGGUGAAUAAAUAAAGUUGUGUUUGCC
rnacentral:lncRNA from 1 species